AUUGAACGCUGGCGGCAGGCCUAACACAUGCAAGUCGAACGGUAACAGGAAACAGCUUGCUGUUUCGCUGACGAGUGGCGGACGGGUGAGUAAUGUCUGGGAAACUGCCUGAUGGAGGGGGAUAACUACUGGAAACGGUAGCUAAUACCGCAUAACGUCGCAAGACCAAAGAGGGGGACCCUCGGGCCUCUUGCCAUCGGAUGUGCCCAGAUGGGAUUAGCUUGUUGGUGGGGUAACGGCUCACCAAGGCGACGAUCCCUAGCUGGUCUGAGAGGAUGACCAGCCACACUGGAACUGAGACACGGUCCAGACUCCUACGGGAGGCAGCAGUGGGGAAUAUUGCACAAUGGGCGCAAGCCUGAUGCAGCCAUGCCGCGUGUAUGAAGAAGGCCUUCGGGUUGUAAAGUACUUUCAGCGGGGAGGAAGGGAGUAAAGUUAAUACCUUUGCUCAUUGACGUUACCUGCAGAAGAAGCACCGGCUAACUCCGUG
rnacentral:rRNA from 1 species